rnacentral:rRNA from 1 species
GAUGAACACUGGCGGCGUGCCUAAUACAUGCAAGUCGAGCGAACGGACGAGAAGCUUGCUUCUCUGAUGUUAGCGGCGGACGGGUGAGUAACACGUGGAUAACCUACCUAUAAGACUGGGAUAACUUCGGGAAACCGGAGCUAAUACCGGAUAAUAUUUUGAACCGCAUGGUUCAAAAGUGAAAGACGGUCUUGCUGUCACUUAUAGAUGGAUCCGCGCUGCAUUAGCUAGUUGGUAAGGUAACGGCUUACCAAGGCAACGAUGCAUAGCCGACCUGAGAGGGUGAUCGGCCACACUGGAACUGAGACACGGUCCAGACUCCUACGGGAGGCAGCAGUAGGGAAUCUUCCGCAAUGGGCGAAAGCCUGACGGAGCAACGCCGCGUGAGUGAUGAAGGUCUUCGGAUCGUAAAACUCUGUUAUUAGGGAAGAACAUAUGUGUAAGUAACUGUGCACAUCUUGACGGUACCUAAUCAGAAAGCCACGGCUAACUACGUGCCAGCAGCCGCGGUAAUACGUAGGUGGCAAGCGUUAUCCGGAAUUAUUGGGCGUAAAGCGCGCGUAGGCGGUUUUUUAAGUCUGAUGUGAAAGCCCACGGCUCAACCGUGGAGGGUCAUUGGAAACUGGAAAACUUGAGUGCAGAAGAGGAAGGUGGAAUUCCAUGUGUAGCGGUGAAAUGCGCAGAGAUAUGGAGGAACACCAGUGGCGAAGGCGACUUUCUGGUCUGUAACUGACGCUGAUGUGCGAAAGCGUGGGGAUCAAACAGGAUUAGAUACCCUGGUAGUCCACGCCGUAAACGAUGAGUGCUAAGUGUUAGGGGGUUUCCGCCCCUUAGUGCUGCAGCUAACGCAUUAAGCACUCCGCCUGGGGAGUACGACCGCAAGGUUGAAACUCAAAGGAAUUGACGGGGACCCGCACAAGCGGUGGAGCAUGUGGUUUAAUUCGAAGCAACGCGAAGAACCUUACCAAAUCUUGACAUCCUUUGACAACUCUAGAGAUAGAGCCUUCCCCUUCGGGGGACAAAGUGACAGGUGGUGCAUGGUUGUCGUCAGCUCGUGUCGUGAGAUGUUGGGUUAAGUCCCGCAACGAGCGCAACCCUUAAGCUUAGUUGCCAUCAUUAAGUUGGGCACUCUAAGUUGACUGCCGGUGACAAACCGGAGGAAGGUGGGGAUGACGUCAAAUCAUCAUGCCCCUUAUGAUUUGGGCUACACACGUGCUACAAUGGACAAUACAAAGGGCAGCGAAACCGCGAGGUCAAGCAAAUCCCAUAAAGUUGUUCUCAGUUCGGAUUGUAGUCUGCAACUCGACUACAUGAAGCUGGAAUCGCUAGUAAUCGUAGAUCAGCAUGCUACGGUGAAUACGUUCCCGGGUCU